rnacentral:rRNA from 1 species
AGCGAACGCUGGCGGCAGGCCUAACACAUGCAAGUCGAACGAACCUUUCGGGGUUAGUGGCGGACGGGUGAGUAACACGUGGGAACGUGCCUUUAGGUUCGGAAUAACUCAGGGAAACUUGUGCUAAUACCGAAUGUGCCCUUCGGGGGAAAGAUUAAUCGCCUUUAGAGCGGCCCGCGUCUGAUUAGCUAGUUGGUUGAGGUAAUGGCUCACCAAGGCGACGAUCAGUAGCUGGUCUGAGAGGAUGAUCAGCCACAUUGGGACUGAGACACGGCCCAAACUCCUCCGGGAGGCAGCAGUGGGGGAUCUUGCGCAAUGGGCGAAAGCCUGACGCAGCCAUGCCGCGUGAAUGAUGAAGGUCUUAGGGUUGUAAAAUUCUUUCACCGAGGACGAUCAUGACGGUACCCGGAGAAGAAGCCCCGGCUAACUUCGUG